rnacentral:rRNA from 1 species
CAGUCGCCGCGGUAAUACGAAGGGGGCUAGCGUUGCUCGGAAUGACUGGGCGUAAAGGGCGCGUAGGCGGAUUGUUUAGUUAGGCGUGAAAUUCCUGGGCUUAACCUGGGGACUGCGCUUAAUACAGGCAGUCUAGAGUGAGGAAGAGGGUUGUGGAAUUCCCAGUGUAGAGGUGAAAUUCGUAGAUAUUGGGAAGAACACCGGUGGCGAAGGCGGCGACCUGGUCCGUGACUGACGCUGAGGCGCGAAAGCGUGGGGAGCAAACAGGAUUAGAUACCCGCGUAGUCCCUGUCUCUUAUAC